AACGAACGCUGGCGGCAUGCCUAACACAUGCAAGUCGAACGAGACCUUCGGGUCUAGUGGCGCACGGGUGCGUACCGCGUGGGAACCUGCCCUUAGGUUCGGAAUAACUCCCCGAAAGGGGUGCUAAUACCGGAUAAUGUCUUCGGACCAAAGAUUUAUGGCUUUUGGAUGGGCCCGCGUUGGAUUAGCCAGUUGGUAGGGUAAAAGCCUACCAAGGCGACGAUCCAUAGCUGGUCUGAGAGGAUGAUCAGCCACACUGGGACUGCGACACGGCCCAGACUCCUACGGAAGGCAGCAGUGGGGAAUAUUGGACGAUGGGCGAAAGCCUGAUCCAGCAAUGCCGCGUGAGUGAUGAAGGCCUUAGGGUUGUAAAGCUCUUUUACCCGGGAUGAUAAUGACAGUACCGGGAGAAUAAGCUCCGGCUAACUCCGUG
rnacentral:rRNA from 1 species